rnacentral:sRNA from 1 species
CUUAAAGAAUAGAUCUGAAACUCAAUAAUUUUGAUCAAUAUUUCGAAAAAUUAUAAAACGCUAAAUAUUAUAAUUCUAGAAUUUUUCUAAAGCAUUGUACGGGAAAAUAGAUAUUAAAGUAAAACACUUGUUAAGUACAAGGAAAGUAUAAUUUGACACACAUAGUAAAAAAUAAACAAAAUAUUGUCUCAAAUAUGAUCGUAAAUUAGAGCAAAGUAUGCUAAACAAAAUCCCUGUUGGUGAAAAAGGCUUAAUUAUACAACUAUGACCAAAGAAUGUUAAAUACACUCUUUUGUCAACUAAGUAAUUUUUCAAGUAAUCUUAAUGCUGAUUUUUCCAAUCACAAUUUAGUUUGAAUCAUCUUAAUGUUUAGGAUGUAAGUAUUCCUAUGAGUAUUCAGUUCAUUUUUUCUUUUGGUGUCUAUAUCAUAGUCCUUUCUGAAUUCAUCUGAAUAGAUAUAUGAAUGGUCGUAACAUACCAAAAGAUAUUAACAGUACACUACCUGGUUAUUAUUGUUUAUUUUUCUCAUAAAUUAAGUCAUUUUUUUUACUAAUUUAUUAAUUUAAUUUUAAAAGUUUUUUUUCAUAAAAAAAAAGGGGGGGGGGGGCGGAAAUUUAGAUUGUAAAUUAACAAAAAGCAACAGUGUGCUACUUUACAUGUACAUGUAUAUGACUUAUUGAGUCUAUUAUAGCUGUUUUAUUUUUAUUUCUUUUAAUUUGCAUUUUAUUUUAACUAUGUGUGAGUGCUAUUUUUGUCUGUUUUUUAAUCUUUUCUCAUUAAUUUAAAUACUUUUUUGUAUAUUUUGAAUAAAAUUCUUUUUAAACUCAU